AAGGUAUGGUGAGGGCACUUUCUAAGCAUCUCUUUUAAUCUCUCCCAACUAACAUAAGUAGGUUAUCUUUCUAAUUGAGUAAAAUAAGUAAUAUCAUUUCUAAGUUU